CAGAGCCUGUGCCCCAGAGAAGCCUUCACCCAGUCAGAGUAGAAACAGAACGUUAAGGCAUCUCCAUUCCCUCCAUCGUGGACUGUGCCGAGAUCCAUUCAUAGGAAUCCUCAGAAGUUUAUAGAGGGUUGGAAUACUAGACCCCCACCAAGGUUGCCAAUCAAAAUUUUACCUUUGUAUUGGCCUUUUCCCCUUCCUUGUUUUACUCUCCUCUCACUCCUUCUCUCUGGAGUCAAGAUUCUGGUCAACUAGAAGGACCUGAACUCAAACUGAGCCCUUGGAAGAGAAAACAGACUAAAACCAUGGUGAUAAGAACAUCUCCACCCUACAAAACGUAGCAUCCUGAAAGGGGACUGCUUAUUUAUCUGAUGACAGAAGGAUUGCAUUGUGGUGAAGUGAUGAUCAGACCAGGCAUACAAAGUGCUUAUGCUUUUCCAGGCUGUCAUGAGUGGAGGGUUGUGAUAAGGAACAUGCAAAAGUUGAAGUGUUAGAUAUCUAAGUUUCUUAAAUCUGCCAACUCAAGUCAUAUGGAGCAAACCAGGAGCUUCCAUGGCUGAGUUAAAGAUAUUCAUAUUUCUUGAAUAUAAGAUAAGAAUACUAUGGAGAAAACCAAGUCAUGGAUUUAAUCAUGAGUGGCAAGGCUCAAAAAAUACUGAACACAUAAUUUUUAAAAACAUUUUAUGCCAAGUCCUCAGGCCUCUAAGGAAAAUAGUACAAGUCAGAGGUCUGUGGUUGGGUCAUUCUACUAGAUUACUGUGAGGAUCUGGAACCUCCAAAUUUCUCAGUAAUCCCCUGGACAGGGUGAAGGACUUUAACCCCUGCCACUUGUUGGAAGAAAGCAGUGCAAGAUACGGCUUGCCUUUGUCAGGACCCAUGUAUGCUUCUGUCUGCUUCUGCUUAUUGCCUCUUGGACCAAUAAUUAGAGUCACUUCUCAGCACAUACCACCAGGACAAGAUAAUUCCUGCUGUAAGGAAAGGCCUUAUUUGUAGAAUAAUUGGAGUUCCUAGGGAAUAAAGACAAGAAGGAAAACAGAGGAACACAUGAGGGAAGAGAACUUAGUGAUGCUGGACUUGUGAUCAGAAUGAAAGACGUCAUAGGGAGAAAUGUAUUGACAUGAGGAUAUUUCUUUAUGAAUUGUGCUUAAUUUUCUUACCUGGGAGAAAUGAAGCUGGCCGUAACACUCAUCUAGGAUGGUUGUUAACUUAUGAACAUGAUACUGGCCUUACUGAAGACAAGGUGAUGUGCUGUGAUUAUCACAGUAUGGUACUGAAGAAGGACACAGAAGGCUACAACAAUAAUGAAAUGUAGUCACGUAUGGAUGUGAGAGUUGGACCAUAAAGAAGGCUGAGCGCUGAAGAACUGAUACUUUUGAACUGUGGUGUUGGAGAAGACUCUGGAGAGUCCCUUUGACAGCAAGGAGAUCAAACCAGUCAAUCCUAAAGAAAAUAAACCCCAAAUAUUCAUUGGAAGGACAAAUGCUGAAGCUGAAGCUCUAAUACUUUGGCCACCUGAUGCAAAGAGCUGAAUCACUGGAAGUGAUCUUGAUGCUGGGAAAUAUUGAAGGCAGGAGAAGGGGAUGACAGAGGAUGAGAUGGUUGGAUGGCAUCAUGGAUUCAAUGGACAUGAGCUUGAGCAAGCUCAGGGAGAUUGUUAAGGACAGAAGCCUGGUGUGCUGCAGUUCAUG
ensembl:lncRNA